rnacentral:misc_RNA from 1 species
GAUGAAGAACGUAGCGAAAUGCGAUAAGUAAUGUGAAUUGCAGAAUUCAGUGAAUCAUCGAAUCUUUGAACGCACAUUGCGCCCGCCAGUAUUCUGGCGGGCAUGCCUGUUCGUGCGUCAUUACAACCCUCAAGCCCCCCGGCUUGGUGUUGGGGACCGGCCACCGGUGCCCUGCUGCUUCCGCGGCAGGCGCACCCGGCCGCCCCCGAAAUGAAUUGGCGGCCCCGUCGCGGCCUCCCUCUGCGUAGUAGCACACAUCUCGCAGCUGGAGCGCGGCGCGGCCACUGCCGUAAAACGCACCAACUUUUUUUACAGUUGACCUCGAAUCAGGUAGGAAUACCCGCUGAACUUAAGCAUAUCAAUAAGCGGAGGA